CCUACGGGAGGCUGCAGUCGAGGAUCUUCGGCAAUGGGGGCAACCCUGACCGAGCGACGCCGCGUGGGCGACGAAGGCCUUCGGGUUGUAAAGCCCUGUCGAGGGGGAGGAAAGCCCGCGAGGGUCUGACCUAGCCCUGGAGGAAGCUCGGGCUAAGUUCGUGCCAGCAGCCGCGGUAAGACGAACCGAGCGAACGUUGUUCGGAAUCACUGGGCUUAAAGGGCGCGUAGGCGGGCGGCCGCGUCCGGGGUGAAAUCCUCCGGCUCAACCGGAGA
rnacentral:rRNA from 1 species